GCAUUAAUGGGUAGAGAUAACCCAGGUCUUCAAAGUAUGAGCUUGGGACCACUAUUAAAGACCAGCCGAGGGUUCAAAUCCCUCUUAAUGCA